rnacentral:rRNA from 1 species
UGGGGAAUAUUGCACAAUGGGCGCAAGCCUGAUGCAGCCAUGCCGCGUGUGUGAAGAAGGCCUUCGGGUUGUAAAGCACUUUCAGCGGGGAGGAAGGCGGUGAGGUUAAUAACCUCAUCGAUUGACGUUACCCGCAGAAGAAGCACCGGCUAACUCCGUGCCAGCAGCCGCGGUAAUACGGAGGGUGCAAGCGUUAAUCGGAAUUACUGGGCGUAAAGCGCACGCAGGCGGUCUGUCAAGUCGGAUGUGAAAUCCCCGGGCUCAACCUGGGAACUGCAUUCGAAACUGGCAGGCUAGAGUCUUGUAGAGGGGGGUAGAAUUCCAGGUGUAGCGGUGAAAUGCAUAGAGAUCUGGAGGAAUACCGGUGGCGAAGGCGGCCCCCUGGACAAAGACUGACGCUCAGGUGCGAAAGCGUGGGGAGCAAACAGG